CCUACGGGGGGCAGCAGUGAGGAAUAUUGGUCAAUGGACGCAAGUCUGAACCAGCCAUGCCGCGUGCAGGAAGACGGCUCUAUGAGUUGUAAACUGCUUUUGUACGAGGGUAAACGCAGAUACGCGUAUCUGUCUGAAAGUAUCGUACGAAUAAGGAUCGGCUAACUCCGUGCCAGCAGCCGCGGUAAUACGGAGGAUUCAAGCGUUAUCCGGAUUUAUUGGGUUUAAAGGGUGCGUAGGCGGUUUGAUAAGUUAGAGGUGAAAUUUCGGGGCUCAACCCCGAAACUGCCUCUAAUACUGUUGGA
rnacentral:rRNA from 1 species